AUGAUAUUUAUAGAGCGCCGUCAAAUUCCGCAGCGCUUUACAAUGGGUGGACGAACAGACAUGUAGUUGUAACCAGACAAGUUGGACACACAGGAACAGAGGGGUUGAGGGCCCUGCUCAAUGAGCUCACAUGCUAGAGGGAGUGGGGUAAAAUGACACAAAAAGGUAAGGAUAGUAUUAAUGCUAAUUUAAUGUUAAUUUAAUUUAAGAGUUAAUGCUAAUUUAAAUCUUGGGGAUUAAAAGAGUGCCAACUGGUCCCAUCAUUUUAUGUAUUUAUAGCCUUGUUUUAAAGCCCAAGCAUGAGCUGGGAAAGAUCACUGAGGAGGUUUAAGGAUGGAUCCAGCUGCUGUUU